rnacentral:lncRNA from 1 species
GAUCCCAAGGCUAGUUUCCGAAAGGAUAUUAAGCCUCCAGCUCCCGUCUGUCACAGUGCAUGACCGGCUCACAUCAAUCACCAUGCAAGGCAGCCUAGAGCAUGAGUUGAACUCCUUCGGUGUUCUCUUUUCUCUUCCCUUUCUGAUUUACUCUAUUAUCAUGGGAGUUGACUUGAAAAAUAUUUUGGACAGCUGCUUUUUUGAGUUUGGGUUGUAGUUAAACCCACCAGCAGGGGGAGUCGGGGAGACUAGCAAACCUUGGCAGAGUCCAGCCUCUCUAGGAUCCAGCUACGGAGCUGUUUUUUGUGGACACUUGUGAAGAAGCAAGAAACAGAACAGGCAAGAGGAAGGAAACAGGAGAGCUCUGAAGGGUUUGAAAUCCUAGUUUACGGUGUUGAAGGUGUGGAAUAAAAGACUGCUUCACAGCAGGUGAUUGUGAUUUGCCUUGUGCACUAGGAGAGGUGUUAUGCCAGUGGCAGACAGUUUGAUUCUGGGGACUCUGAAGAGGGUACAAAUGGAUGAGCCUUGAGAAGGGCUCUGAGGAGGCUGCUGCUUCUCUUGCUGUUCCUGGCUGCUGUUGUGGCUUGUCACCUGUUCAUGAGCAAAGGGAUGGGAAGAAGUUGGAGAUAUCCUGACAAUGGAGAUUGGACUAUACCCAAGAAAUAGGACACCCCUAAUUAGCAGGACGUAGUCUGAAGAAGUCUACACUCCCCCUUUCUUCUAAACUUCUUUCUCUCCU